GAACAUCACCAAACACAGUAUAACUUAGUCAGACUAUUUAUCUGGAACAGCACCAAACGCCUUAUAAUAUUAUGGAUAAAGAGUCAGUACUCUCCGGAACAAAUUAAUAUUAUCCGACGAAAAUUAGUCAGUACAGUCCGACGUACCAAACGAGCCCUAAAAGUAAAACUAAAAUGGACAAAAGCCGCACUAAAACUAUUAGC
rnacentral:lncRNA from 1 species